UACGAAGGGGGCUAGCGUUGCUCGGAAUCACUGGGCGUAAAGGGUGCGUAGGCGGGUCUUUAAGUCAGGGGUGAAAUCCUGGAGCUCAACUCCAGAACUGCCUUUGAUACUGAGAAGCUUGAGUCCGGGAGAGGUGAGUGGAACUGCGAGUGUAGAGGUGAAAUUCGUAGAUAUUCGCAAGAACACCAGUGGCGAAGGCGGCUCACUGGCCCGGUACUGACGCUGAGGUGCGAAAGCGUGGGGAGCGAACAGG
rnacentral:rRNA from 1 species